CCUACGGGAGGCAGCAGUGAGGAAUAUUGGUCAAUGGACGAGAGUCUGAACCAGCCAAGUAGCGUGAAGGAUGACUGCCCUAUGGGUUGUAAACUUCUUUUAUAUGGGAAUAAAAUGUUCCACGUGUGGGAUUUUGUAUGUACCAUAUGAAUAAGGAUCGGCUAACUCCGUGCCAGCAGCCGCGGUAAUACGGAGGAUCCGAGCGUUAUCCGGAUUUAUUGGGUUUAAAGGGAGCGUAGGUGGAUUGUUAAGUCAGUUGUGAAAGUUUGAGGCUCAACCGUAAAAUUGCAGUUGAAACUGGCAGUCUUGAGUACAGUAGAGGUAGGCGGAAUUCGUGGUGUAGCGGUGAAAUGCUUAGAUAUCACGAAGAACUCCGAUUGCGAAGGUAGUUCACUGGACUGCAACUGACACUGAGGCUCGAAAGUGUGGGUAUCAAACAGGAUUAGAUACCCUAGUAGUC
rnacentral:rRNA from 1 species